UUGUUGAAUUUCUAACAUGAGAAACAGGACUGGUUUGGGCGUGUCCUGUCUGAGCAGACACAGGACACCACGGUUUUCGGUACGACA